rnacentral:rRNA from 1 species
ACGCUCGACACCUACGGGAGGCAGCAGUGGGGAAUAUUGUACAAUGGGGGAAACCCUGAUGCAGCGACGCCGCGUGAGCGAAGAAGUAUUUCGGUAUGUAAAGCUCUAUCAGCAGGGAAGAAACUGACGGUACCUGACUAAGAAGCACCGGCUAAAUACGUGCCAGCAGCCGACGGUAAUCUGAGGCGGGCUGGCGAAGGC